AAAUGAAUUGACGGGGGCCCGCACAAGCGGAGGAACAUGUGGUUUAAUUCGAUGAUACGCGAGGAACCUUACCCGGGCUAGAACGCAGAAGGAAUACAUUGGAAACGAUGUAGCCGCAAGGUCUUUUGCGAGGUGCUGCAUGGUUGUCGUCAGCUCGUGCCGUGAGGUGUCGGCUUAAGUGCCAUAACGAGCGCAACCCUUAUUGUUAGUUGCCAGCGAUUGAAGUCGGGGACUCUAGCAAAACUGCCUGCGUAAGCUGUGAGGAAGGUGGGGAUGACGUCAAAUCAGCACGGCCCUUACGUCCGGGGCGACACACGUGUUACAAUGGGAGGUACAGAAGGUUGCUACCACGCGAGUGGAUGCUAAUCCAUAAAUCCUCUCUCAGUUCGGAUCGAAGUCUGCAACUCGACUUCGUGAAGCUGGAUUCGCUAGUAAUCGCGCAUCAGCCAUGGCGCGGUGAAUACGUUCCCGGGCCUUGUACACACCGCCCGU
rnacentral:rRNA from 1 species